AUUCUGCCCGUGCAGGGAAGGAUGAGAAGCUUCGACCAGGGUUCGAUUCGAGCGCAGCGAGAAAGCGUUGCCGCAGGCAACGACCCGAAGGGUGAGGCGCGAAGCGACGAAUAAUUCUUCCCCCGCCACCA
rnacentral:sRNA from 2 species